GCCUGGAGUACUAACACAUACAAGUCGAGCGAAACUUAGGGUUUAGCUGGGUGAGUAACGCGUUGGAACGUGCCCUUCUCUGCGGAAUAGCCACUGGAAACGGUGAGUAAUACCGCAUACGCCCUUCGGGGGACAGAUUUAUCGGGGAACGAUCGGCCCGCGUCUGAUUAGGUAGAUGGUGGGGUAAUGGCCUACCAAGCCUACGAUCAGUAAGCUGGAUUUUGAGGAUGAUCAGCCACACUGUGAACUGAAGACCCGGCCCAAACUUCCAUCGGGAAGGCAGCCGAGGGGAAAUAUCUUAAACAAGGUGCCCACAGC
rnacentral:rRNA from 1 species